GAUAAACGCUGGCGGCGUGCAUGAGACAUGCAAGUCGAACGAAGGAUCGGGCUUGCUCGAUCCUUAGUGGCGGACGGCUGAGUAACGCGUAGGUGACCUACCCCGAAGUGGGGAAUAACUGCCCGAAAGGGUGGCUAAUACCGCCUGUGGUCGCACGUUCAUUCGUGCGAGUAAAGCCGCAAGGCGCUUCGGGAGGGGCCUGCGUCCGAUUAGCUCGUUGGUGGGGUAAUGGCUUACCAAGGCGACGAUCGGUAGGUGGUCUGAGAGGACGAUCACCCAGACUGGGACUGAGACACGGCCCAGACUCCUACGGGAGGCAGCAGUCGGGAAUUUUGCUCAAUGGGGGAAACCCUGAAGCAGCAACGCCGCGUGAGGGAUGAAGGCCUUCGGGUUGUAAACCUCUUUUGUCAGGGACGAUGAUGACGGUACCUGGCGAAUAAGCCACGGCUAACUACGUG
rnacentral:rRNA from 1 species